UGAUUGGUGCUUGCAUCAUGAUUUACAUUUGAGUGAGUGGCGAACUGGUGAGUAACACGUGGGAAACCUGCCCAGAAGCGGGGGAUAACACCUGGAAACAGAUGCUAAUACCGCAUAACAACUUGGACCGCAUGGUCCGAGCUUGAAAGAUGGCUUCGGCUAUCACUUUUGGAUGGUCCCGCGGCGUAUUAGCUAGAUGGUGGGGUAACGGCUCACCAUGGCAAUGAUACGUAGCCGACCUGAGAGGGUAAUCGGCCACAUUGGGACUGAGACACGGCCCAAACUCCUACGGGAGGCAGCAGUAGGGAAUCUUCCACAAUGGACGAAAGUCUGAUGGAGCAACGCCGCGUGAGUGAAGAAGGGUUUCGGCUCGUAAAACUCUGUUGUUAAAGAAGAACAUAUCUGAGAGUAACUGUUCAGGUAUUGACGGUAUUUAACCAGAAAGCCACGGCUAACUACGUGCCAGCAGCCGCGGUAAUACGUAGGUGGCAAGCGUUGUCCGGAUUUAUUGGGCGUAAAGCGAGCGCAGGCGGUUUUUUAAGUCUGAUGUGAAAGCCUUCGGCUCAACCGAAGAAGUGCAUCGGAA
rnacentral:rRNA from 2 species